rnacentral:lncRNA from 1 species
CCCUGAUUCACAGCAGGCCACGCUGCUCGAGACCGGCCGUUCUGCCCGCACUCCUUAGGGUCUCCUCUCCAACGGGAUGAUACCUGGAGUUGGGGCGCUCACCCAGGACACACUAUGGUGCUUCAGCCAAGUGAAAGGCACCAUCGAGAUUGGAGCCACAGAAGGAGCCAAGGGAGAACCCAAGACAGAGAAUAGUGGCACAAUAAUGAAGCAUGAAUUAUCCAGAUGAAAGCACCUAUGGAAAU